CACGUAGGGCGCAAGCGUUGUCCGGAAUUAUUGGGCGUAAAGAGCUCGUAGGUGGUUUGUUACGUCUGCUGUGAAAUCCUAGGGCUUAACCCUGGGCUUGCAGUGGAUACGGGCAGACUAGAGGUAGGUAGGGGAGAAUGGAAUUCCUGGUGUAGCGGUGAAAUGCGCAGAUAUCAGGAGGAACACCGGUGGCGAAGGCGGUUCUCUGGGCCUUACCUGACACUGAGGAGCGGAAAGCGUGGGGAGCGAACAGG
rnacentral:rRNA from 1 species